UGCCUUGCGAGAUCGGUUCAAAGAAAAUCGGGUUCAGAUUGUGUGUUUAGGGUAUCUGUUUUGGGCCAUUUUUUCCUCCCGAACCCUUAAAGUGACGGUUAUUUUUUGGUUUUUGCCUCUUUUAGGUAUGUGCUAGAGAUGUUCUUAGAGCUGGAACUUUCAUGUGAGAGAGAGAAGGGGAAUAAUUUCUUGAAGUUCCUUUUCCAUACGAUUUUAUUUUAUUUUAUUUGGUUUUUGGAGAGAGGAACUUUUGGGAAUUUAUUAUUCCUUUGAUUUGGAGGAUCUUCUGCACCCGUUGUGUGCAUUUGCAUUUCCAAGGAUGGAUUUGGACUAGAUGGAUAGAACCGUGGGCAACACCAUAAA
rnacentral:lncRNA from 1 species